rnacentral:rRNA from 1 species
UAAACAUUGAUACAUUGUUACAUUUUCAAUCCGCCCGGGUACUACAAGCACUAGCUUAAAACCCAAAAGACUUGGCGGUGCUUAAGAUCCCCCUAGAGGAGCCUGUUCUAGAACCGAUAAUCCACGUUUAACCUCACCCUCCCUUGUUUUUCCCGCCUAUAUACCGCCGUCGUCAGCCUACCCUGUAAAGGUUUAACAGUGAGCAAAAAUGGCACAGCCCAAAACGUCAGGUCGAGGUGUAGCGCAUGAGAGGGGAAGAAAUGGGCUACAUUCUCUAAAAAUAGAAGCACACGGAUAAUAUAUUGAAACAUAUAUUUUAAGGAGGAUUUAGCAGUAAGUAGAAAUUAGAAAAUUCCACUGAAUCCGGCCCUAAAGCGCGC